rnacentral:rRNA from 1 species
AUUGAACGCUGGCGGCAUGCCUUACACAUGCAAGUCGAACGGCAGCACGGGAGCAAUCCUGGUGGCGAGUGGCGAACGGGUGAGUAAAGUAUCGGAACGUGCCCAGUCGUGGGGGAUAACGUAGCGAAAGUUACGCUAAUACCGCAUACGAUCUAUGGAUGAAAGCGGGGGAUCGCAAGACCUCGCGCGAUUGGAGCGGCCGAUAUCAGAUUAGGUAGUUGGUGGGGUAAAGGCUCACCAAGCCGACGAUCUGUAGCUGGUCUGAGAGGACGACCAGCAACACUGGGACUGAGACACGGCCCAGACUCCUACGGGAGGCAGCAGUGGGGAAUUUUGGACAAUGGGCGAAAGCCUGAUCCAGCCAUGCCGCGUGCAGGAUGAAGGCCUUCGGGUUGUAAACUGCUUUUGUACGGAACGAAAAGGUUUGGCCUAAUAAGCUGAGCUCAUGACGGUACCGUAAGAAUAAGCACCGGCUAACUACGUGCCAGCCGCAGUAAGAC